CCUACGGGUGGCAGCAGUGGGGAAUAUUGCACAAUGGGGGAAACCCUGAUGCAGCGACGCCGCGUGAGUGAAGAAGUAUCUCGGUACGUAAAGCUCUAUCAGCAGGGAAGAAAAUGACGGUACCUGACUAAGAAGCCCCGGCUAACUACGUGCCAGCAGCCGCGGUAAUACGUAGGGGGCAAGCGUUAUCCGGAUUUACUGGGUGUAAAGGGAGCGUAGACGGCAGCACAAGUCUGGAGUAAAAGCCCGGGGCUUACCCCGGAACUGCUUUGGAAACUGUGCGGCUGGAGUGCAGGAGAGGUAAGCGGAAUUCCUAGUGUAGCGGUGAAAUGCGUAGAUAUUAGGAGGAACACCGGUUGCGAAGGCGGCUUACUGGACUGUAACUGACGUUGAGGCUCGAAAGCGUGGGGAGCAAACAGGAUUAGAUACCCUAGUAGUC
rnacentral:rRNA from 1 species